UCGUUUUCCUGUUUUGGAAGGGCAGAGGGGCAGAGAGGGAGCGAUAGGAGGAGGCACUCGAGCAGUGAAGGAGACAAGGCGAUUUUUGCCGGGUUCAUGGUGUUUGCGAGAUCCCUCUAUCCUCGAGCUUUGGUUUUCUCUUCGAUUCACUACUCCCCAGUUUUCAGCAUCAUUAUCUAUGGGGAGGCUACGGAAAGUCUCUCACAAGGAUGUUCCGGAAGCAUCUUCUAUUGAUAGUGCAGAUCCUUUGCAAGACCCCUUCGUGCCUAAUGACUUUGCGGAAGAUGGUUCUAAUUGUUGUAGGGCUUACACUGUAAUAUACCAGAGUUUUACCCUGUAAUAUGGUUGAGCACUGUAAUUGCUGUAGGGCUUAUACUGUAAUUUACCAGAGUUUUACACUGUAAUUGUUGUAGGGCGUACAGUAUUUGUCAGAUACAUUACAAUGGAUUUUACCUUUGAAUUGUGGGGCUUACACUGUAAUAUACUGCAUAUUUACACUGUAAUUUGAAUACUUCGGCACUAUAAUUGUUGUAGAGCUUACAGAGUAUUUUUCAGAUAGAUCACAGUGGAUUUUACGUUUAAUUUUACAGUGUAUUUAUGAGUGUUGUUUCUUGGGGAAUAACAGUGUAAUUCCAGGGGAAUUACAGUGUAAUUCGUGGGUACUUUGACUGUAAUUCGUGGAUGUUUACAGUGUAACUUCAUCAGUUAUUCAAGUGUAAAUCCUUGGGAA